rnacentral:rRNA from 1 species
GCGGUGAGCAUGUGGUUAAUUCGACGCAACGCGAAGAACCUUACCUGGGCUUGACAUCCCGAUCGCACCUUAUGGAAACAUAGGGGUCAGUUCGGCUGGAUCGGUGACAGGUGCUGCAUGGCUGUCGUCAGCUCGUGUCGUGAGAUGUUGGGUUAAGUCCCGCAACGAGCGCAACCCUUGUCCUUAGUUGCCAGCAUUCAGUUGGGCACUCUAAGGAGACUGCCGGUGUCAAACCGGAGGAAGGUGGGGAUGACGUCAAGUCCUCAUGGCCCUUAUGUCCAGGGCUACACACGUGCUACAAUGGCCGGUACAAAGGGGCGCAAGACCGCGAGGUGGAGCAAAUCCCAAAAAACCGGUCUCAGUUCGGAUUGGAGUCUGCAACUCGACUCCAUGAAGUUGGAAUCGCUAGUAAUCGCGUAUCAGCAUGACGCGGUGAAUACGUUCCCGGGCCUU